AUUGAACGCUGGCGGCAGGCCUAACACAUGCAAGUCGAGCGUGCGGCGGACGGGUGAGUAAUGUAUGGGGACUGCCCGAUAGAGGGGGAUAACAACUGGAAACGGUAGCUAAUACCGCAUAAUAUGGGAUAACCCUUAUGGGAUUAGCUAGUGGGUGAGGUAAUGGCUCACCUAGGCGACGAUCCCUAGCGGAUCUGAGAGGAUGAUCAGCCACACUGGGACUGAGACACGGCCCAGACUCCUACGGAGGCAGCAGUGGGGAAUAUUGCACAAUGGGCGCAAGCCUGAUGCAGCCAUGCCGCGUGUAUGAAGAAGGCCUUAGGGUUGUAAAGUUCUUUCAGUCGAGAAGCGUUACCGACAGAGAAAGCACCGGCUAACUCCGUGCCAGCAGCCGCGGUAAUUC
rnacentral:rRNA from 1 species